UGGGGAAUUUUCCGCAAUGGGCGAAAGCCUGACGGAGCAAUACCGCGUGCGGGAGGAAGGCCUUUGGGUCGUAAACCGCUUUUAACAGGGAAGAAGAUCUGACGGUACCUGUUGAAUAAGCCUCGGCUAACUCCGUGCCAGCAGCCGCGGUAAGACGGAGGAGGCAAGCGUUAUCCGGAAUUAUUGGGCGUAAAGCGUCCGCAGGUGGCCUUUCAAGUCUGCUGUUAAAGCCCAGGGCUCAACUCUGGAUCAGCAGUGGAAACUGAAAGGCUAGAGUACGGUAGGGGUAGAGGGAAUUCCCAGUGUAGCGGUGAAAUGCGUAGAUAUUGGGAAGAACACCAGUGGCGAAGGCGCUCUGCUGGGCCGUAACUGACACUCAUGGACGAAAGCUAGGGGAGCGAAAGGGAUUAGAUACCCCCGUAGUCC
rnacentral:rRNA from 1 species